rnacentral:rRNA from 1 species
GACGAACGCUGGCGGCGUGCUUAACACAUGCAAGUCGAACGGAAAGGCCCUGCUUUUGUUGGGUGCUCGAGUGCCGAACAGGUGAGUAACACGUGAGUAACCUGCCCUUGACUUUCUGAUAACUUCAGGAAACUGCGGCUAAUACCGGGUAGGAGCUCCUGCUGCAUGGUGGUGGUUGGAAAGUGUCGGCGGUUGGGGCUGGUUUGGCGGCUUAUCAGCUUGGUGGUGUGGUAGGUGCGUACCAGGGCUAUGACGGGUAGCAGGCAUGAGAGCGUGACCGGCCACAUGGGGACUGAGAGAGGGCGCAGACUCCUACGGGAGGCAGUAGUGGGGAACAUGGCACAAUGAGCGGAAGCCUGAGGUAGCAACGUUGCGUGCGGGAUGACGGCCUUUGGGGUGUAAACCGCUGUCGCCGGUGACGAAGCCGUCGUGACGGUAAUGGGUAAAGAAGCACCGGCUAACUACGUG